UAGGGAAUCUUCCGCAAUGGACGCAAGUCUGACGGAGCAACGCCGCGUGAGUGAAGAAGGUUUUCGGAUCGUAAAGCUCUGUUGCCAGGGAAGAACGAGUGGGGGAGUAACUGCCCCUGCUAUGACGGUACCUGAGAAGAAAGCCCCGGCUAACUACGUG
rnacentral:rRNA from 1 species